rnacentral:rRNA from 1 species
GACGAACGCUGGCGGCGUGCUUAACACAUGCAAGUCGAACGGAAAGGCCCUGCUUUUGUGGGGUGCUCGAGUGGCGAACGGGUGAGUAACACGUGAGUAACCUGCCCUUGACUUUGGGAUAACUUCAGGAAACUGGGUCUAAUACCGGAUAGGAGCUCCUGCUGCAUGGUGGGGGUUGGAAAGUUUCGGCGGUUGGGGAUGGACUCGCGGCUUAUCAGCUUGUUGGUGGGGUAGUGGCUUACCAAGGCUUUGACGGGUAGCCGGCCUGAGAGGGUGACCGGCCAAAUUGGGACUGAGAUACGGCCCAGACGCCUACGGGAGGCAGCAGUGGGGAAUAUUGCACAAUGGGCGGAAGCCUGAUGCAGCAACGCCGCGUGCGGGAUGACGGCCUUCGGGUUGUAAACCGAUUUCGCCUGUGACGAAGCGUGAGUGACGGAAAUGGGUAAAGAAGCACCGGCUAACUACGUG